GACGAACGCUGGCGGCGUGCCUAACACAUGCAAGUCGAGCGAUGAAGCUCCCUUCGGGGAGUGGAUUAGCGGCGGACGGGUGAGUAACACGUGAGUAACCUGCCUCAAAGAGGGGGAUAGCCUUCCGAAAGGAAGAUUAAUACCGCAUAAAGUCAUGAAUUCGCAUGUUUUCAUGACCAAAGGAGCAAUCCGCUUUGAGAUGGACUCGCGGCGCAUUAGCUAGUUGGUGAGGUAACGGCUCACCAAGGCAACGAUGCGUAGCCGACCUGAGAGGGUGAUCGGCCACAUUGGGACUGAGACACGGCCCAGACUCCUACGGGAGGCAGCAGUGGGGAAUAUUGCGCAAUGGGCGAAAGCCUGACGCAGCAACGCCGCGUGGAUGAUGAAGGUCUUCGGAUUGUAAAGUCCUGUCUUCAGGGACGAUAAUGACGGUACCUGAGGAGGAAGCCACGGCUAACUACGUG
rnacentral:rRNA from 1 species